UACGUAGGGUGCGAGCGUUAAUCGGAAUUACUGGGCGUAAAGCGUGCGCAGGCGGUUUUGUAAGCCAGAUGUGAAAUCCCCGGGCUUAACCUGGGAAUGGCAUUUGGGACUGCAAGGCUCGAGUGCGGCAGAGGAGACUGGAAUUCCUGGUGUAGCAGUGAAAUGCGUAGAUAUCAGGAGGAACACCGAUGGCGAAGGCAGGUCUCUGGGCUGACACUGACGCUCAUGCACGAAAGCGUGGGGAGCACACAGG
rnacentral:rRNA from 1 species